UUAAAAACUCAUAAAUCCAUGGACAAAAAAACAAAAUCGGGGUAACAAACUAAAACUGAGGGAAACGCAUAAAAUAUAAGAGGAGAACAACGACACAACAUUAAAAUGUAACACACACACAGAAACGGACUAAGCAUUAGACAAAAUCCUAUGAGAAUAACAAAUAUAACAUCAAAACCAAAUACAUGAAUUUGGGAUAAAUAAGUACCGUGACACGUCUUAUAGUAAUGUGAAUUCACACUCAAAAAUAAGAGAAAACAAACGACACAACGGAAACACAACGUUAAAAUGUAACACACACAGACACGAACUAUAAUAUAACAAUGGCCAUAUUCCUGACUUGGUACAGGACAUUUUAAAGGAAAAAAAUGGUGGGUUGAACCUGGUUUUGUGGCAUGCCAAACCUCCCUCUGUUAUGGCCAUGUGAAAUAUAACAUUAAAAUGACAACACAACAUUACAGGACUACAAUAUAAAUAAAUAGGAGAACACAAUUGACAAAGAAACACA
rnacentral:lncRNA from 1 species